rnacentral:lncRNA from 1 species
UGAGAGACAACGUGAGUGUGUGAAGAGAAUAGAGAGAAAGGGAGAAGAGCUGCAAUGGCAGCAGCCUUGCUGCCAUUGCAGCAGCUGCAACAGCUGUGUGUGUUAGCUGGGAGUAGAGUAGAGUGGAUGUGAUCCUCCUCCUCCAUGUAUUUAUUGUAUCAUUUCUCUAUCUCUAAUAAAAUGAACCUCUCCCGUGGAUGUAGGCAAUUUGCCGAACCACGUUAAAUAUUGUGUCAGUGUGCUUUACCCUCCGUUGAGCAACUAUCAGUACACCCCCGGUCCGCGCAUGGGGGUGCCGGAAUUCCCCAACAGAAAGUGCAUGAAGAAGACAUCGGGAAAGAUUUGUUGCACAGAGAAUCUGAUGAUGGCCUUCUUAACUACUUGGAUGAGGCAAAAUAUGAUUUGGUUUGUGAGGGUGGUGUUAUAUUUACACUUGGCUAAGGAUGAUCCCAAAGUCUUUGCUGUGGUUAAGACUGUUGAAGAUGGUAGCUGGACACUGAGUCACAAAUCAAAUUGGCCUGCUUCAUACAAAAAAUGAUGCAAAUUCAUAGCUGUACACUGAGUGCCAAAUUAUUUUAGG